rnacentral:rRNA from 1 species
UACGUAGGGUGCAAGCGUUGUCCGGAAUUAUUGGGCGUAAAGAGCUCGUAGGCGGUUUGUCGCGUCGGCUGUGAAAACCCGGGGCUCAACCCCGGGCCUGCAGUCGAUACGGGCAAACUAGAGUGUGGUAGGGGAGACUGGAAUUCCUGGUGUAGCGGUGAAAUGCGCAGAUAUCAGGAGGAACACCUGCGGCGAAGGCGGGUUGCUGGGCCGACACUGACGCUGAGGCGCGAAAGCCAGGGGAGCGAACGGG